CUAACCGUGGUGACGAGUGCUGUGUGUUAACCAAACACCGAUUUUAAUUACUGACUUUACUCGCCAAGGACUUAAAAUCUGCAAAUAUGUGCUGUGUGUGCAAUUUACUGUGCAAAAUCAUCAGCUUCAUCUUGUCACUGCUGUUUAUAGUGGCAAUAAUACUCAUCAUCCUAUGGGCUACAAAAGUUAUAUUCAAUAACGAUGAAAAACCCGAGGAAGUCACCAGAGAAGCAUAUGGAAGACUAGCUUUGCUCAAAAAUGAUGUUAUCUCAAAAUUAAGUUAGACUUUAAAUAAAAUCCUUAACACCUCCUUAA